UACGUAGGUGACCAGCGUUGUCCGGAUUUACUGGGCGUAAAGAGCGCGCAGGCGGUCGUUCAAGUCGAGUGUGAAAGCCCCCGGCUCAACUGGGGAGGGUCAUUCGAUACUGAUCGACUGGAAGGCAGGAGAGGGAAGCGGAAUUCCCGGUGUAGUGGUGAAAUGCGUAGAUAUCGGGAGGAACACCAGUGGCGAAGGCGGCUUCCUGGCCUGUUCUUGACGCUGAGGCGCGAAAGCUAGGGGAGCGAACAGG
rnacentral:rRNA from 1 species